AAGUCGUAACAAGGUAACCGUAGGUGAACCUGCGGUUGGAUCAUUAUAAAAUAAUGGUUCUCUAGGUUGAGUUUUAAAUCUUUUUUAAGGUUUAAAAUUCCUUGGAGAAUUCCAAUCAACCCUUUGUGCACUGUAAAUGUUUUUUCGAGUACUUUUUAAAAGUGCUCAACAAUAUUUAAAACCCCAUUUUUAAUUUUGUCUGAAUUUUUUAUGAAAAUAAAAAAAUACAACUUUUGACAACGGAUCUCUUGGCUCUC
rnacentral:misc_RNA from 1 species